CAAUGAGCCGCACCUUGACGCUUUUGUCUCCCGAUGGUAGUGUCCUACCAAAGUGCUUCUCUUGCCACAGAGAGUUCCGCUGAGGUCCACGAUCCGACAUCUAAGGAAGAAAGUCCGUCAUUUAACAGAAAAGUCGAGGGAGAUGGUGGAUGAACUUCGCAGGUUGAGAGAGAGCCACUCAGAGGCCACUGCGGAGGCUACCUACUUCCGAAAACUUCACAUGAAAGGGAUUAUGGAUUACAGCC
rnacentral:lncRNA from 1 species